GUACUCAACUUAGAAACCCUAAAUACUUCUUCACAAGUUGUAUAGCCGCUUCUAGAGAGUUGAUCAGUGAAGCGAUCACUGCUUCUCGCCAAUCUCCAAUCAGUGCCAUCUUGGAUUUCCGGUCUGUUCUGCUCCGACCAUCUCCUUCUCCGAUUAAUGAACCCAUCUGUAAGUUCUUAUUUUUGUUCCGAUCAUCACCAUCUCCGAUUGGUGAACCCAUCUGCAAAUCCUUGUUUCUUUUUGCUACAAAUCCUUAUUUCUUUUUUCUAGUCAGUCAAAAUGAUUAAUUAAUUUGAAUAAAACUUGACUUCUGUGUUCUUAAAUUGAAUGAGCGGACUAGAAUUAGCAGUAUUCUAAUAUUUACCUUCUACCCUACUAUCUAUUAGUGUUGUUAUUGUAGUGUAUAAAGUCGUACUCUAUAAUAAAGAAGAUAGGAUUAUGUAGAUAUCAAUUCCAUAUAUGGAAUUGGAAUCUACAUAGUAUCCAAUUCUAUUUCUUUGGUACAUCUAUUUGUUCCGAUCAAUCUAAGAUAAUGUACAGGUAACUCUUAUUCUUAUGGUUCUAAUUCCUAGAUUUUUUAUUAUUUCCAACUUGAAUCCCAAUUUUUUUUUAGCAUUACGAAGAAAAAAAAAACAUUAAAUUAUUAUUUUUUUUAUUUUUUACUUUUUUAGCAUUAGGAAGAAAAAAAAAAAAAAAAAAAAAAAAAAAAACUAAGUUCUUAUUUUUGUUCUGAUUAGUGAACCCAUCUGCAAAUCCUUAUUUCUUUUUGUUCUUCUGAACGAUCUGAACUGGGAAAAAAAGGCAAAAAAAGGCAGGGGAAAUAACUGUAAAACGCAUAUCAGGAACGACAAUGAUCUUUAUCUAUAGUAAAUAAAGAAUUGUGUAAUCAAAUAAGAUAUCACUAUCUUUGUUUUGUUGUAUCACAAUGUUUUGUCAUUGUGAGUGAAAAGUGUACUAUGGUUAUUUUAUUUGUAUAUGGCAUCGGUACAGAGAGGAUUUAAAGCAGUGCAGAGAUCAUUGCCCACACCAAAACUGAAGAACAAUAAAAAUGGUGGAAAUUGGGUUUUUAGGGUUGAGAAUCAUGGGGAAGGCCGUGUCCAUAACCUUGCUCCGCCAUGGCGUUAAGGUGACUGUAUGGAACCGGACCCAUUCUAAGGAAGUAGCAGAUUGAGUAUUCAGGCCCAAGCCUAGCCUGGUUCAGAAGAUCUGACAUCAGACCAAAUUUCAGAGCCACAGACAAAAUUUCAAAGCCACAACAGAAUAGUUCAGCCUGUUCAGCAGUAGACUGAAAAAAAAAAAAAAAAACUUCAGAAAAGUAUUUGGAGCAGGAUUUCUCUCUCAUACACCUUGCAGAGCUACUUCCAAGCAUCCACGGACACUCAAAUCGGACUUGGUAAAGGCAGUAAGGCACUGUAUGAGGAAGCACACUGUCUUUUCGACAUCAUGGGGAAGAAGAAAUUUUUUCUUGGGCAUGUUGGAAAUGGUGCAAAAACGAAAUUUCUUGUGAACAUGUUAAUGGUGAGGUAAUAAUUCAUUUUUGCACGAAGGAUAUUUCUGAAUUAGAGUGUUCUCUUCGGCGUGACUUUCACCAUAUGAGCACAAUACCACCCUUGGACAAAAAAGUGGGCAAAUCACUCAUAGUAGUUCCUCAUACUAGUUCCAAAAGUGAGCAACUUGCUCCCCUGGCAGACCUUUAGCCACUUUCUGUCCAACUGUUGCAUCACGUGACCUGUACUUUUGUAUAUUGCCAAUAUUGCCCUUCAAUAUGACCGUUGUACCCCUUUGUCUAAUCCAUCUUCCUUCUAUUUUUUAGAACCUGCUCUCUCUCUCUCUCUCUCCCUCCAACUGCACUGCUAAACAAAAUUUCGCAAUAAAAUUUACUCUUUCGAUCACUCCCCUCCCUCUUUGGUUGGUCCCAUGUUGAGCUUACACAGCCAUUUUCGCAGGGAUAUUUGCCCAAAUUCUCUUAUUAAUUGCCCUCUUCCUUUUCUUGGGAUACUUAUAUAGAAACCCAACCUACCUUGCUAAUACUAAGUAAUUAACGGGAUGUCAGUUUAAAUAUAUAUAGAUAUAUCUGUAUUUCACAAUUCAUCUUCUUCGCUACGAGUUGUAAAUCUUCACACACUGGCCUACAUUGAUUUUUGAAUGGUGUUAUAUAUAUAUAUAUGUAUUUGUAUAUAUGAUCAUCUCUCAAUAAAAGGCCAAACUACUGAAUAAAUGCACUUAAAAAUUUUGGAGAUGUAGUUCCCAAUCACAAAAGCAUACUUCAGAGGGUGAAAGAAAAAAAAAGACAAUUUCCAUGUCACAGUAAGAAACAAUUCAGCAAAGUAAAUGAUUUAAAUUUCUUCUACAACUAAAUUCAUCUCAUAUAAACAGAAAAUUAGCUAUAAUUACAAAAUCAAAUUGCCUAAAAAACUCGAACUUUAUCAGUGUAAGAAAAAAUUGAGAAGGUUAUACGGUUUUAAUUUCUUUUGUAACAUUAAUUUCAUUACCCUUCUUCUUCUUCCCGAAUUCGUAGCGAAGAGCCAGAAAUCUCGGGAGAAAGAGUUCUGCAUUCUCGACCUCUACGAGUCCAUCUCUGGCUGAAAUUGAUGUUUUCAUUUGAAUCAACCUCUGCCGUCCGAUCACAUGCCAUCACCUCUCUCUCCAUAGUGCCGGUACCAGGUGACGGUUUACAUACUCUCUUUAUAGUCGUUGACCGGGCGUUGUCGGCACAGAGUCCCAUACCGGAAUCUUACUUCUCUUGCCAGUAAACAUUAAAGUUUUUAAGAAAAAUUUAUUUUAAAACAUCAAUAUUUUGGGCGGGUCGGUUGGGUUUCACGGGUUAAUUUUUUUUUUUUAUUAGUAUUUUUUUUUUACAAAUUACAUUUUCAUUUUCCAUAUUUUUAAAUUUUAAGAAAAUUUUAUUUUUUAAACAUCAAUAUUUUGGGCAGGUCAGUCGGGUUUCACGAGUCAAAUUUUUGAAACUAUACUAAGUAUGAAAUGUAUCCUAACCUUUUUAGAUUCAUUCCUAAAGUGUCGUUUUUACCUUUUUCAUUCAUAGUAAUUUUGAACAACCUUUCAAUUCCGCAAUUGCUGUCGAUCUCAAUAUAGUAACUUGAAUUUAUAACUCGACUAGGAUUUUUUUUGACACCGAAAGUUGCUAAUUACAGAAUAUAUAUUUUUUAUAAUCUUUCCAAAAUAUAUAUCUCACAUAAACUUGUCAAUGAGAUUCAGUCAACUGCUAGCACAUGUUCAAGUACAGAAAAACAAGCAAUAGGAGCUCUUUGCUAAAGCAUUCAGCUAGGAACUUAUCGCCAAUAUUGAAAGUACAAUUUGUUUAUAGCCAAGAUUUCUAGCUAUGCCUAAAUGUAUGAUAAAGGCCUCCAUUAUUUUGCCAAUUUCAACUGGGGCUUUCCUGACCCUGCCUUCUGAUUGAAAGAGAUUCGGAGUCCUUACUAUGAAGGGGUCCGGCUUGUUAUGUUUUUCUGGGUGUGACUUGGUUAUGUUGAAUGGGCAAGAGAGGGUGAAAGCAAAUACGGUUCAUGUGAAAUGCUACUCUUUGAAAGCAGUAGCUGAGCCACCCACCCAAAUGUCCACUAUGGGGUUCGAACCCCUCAUCUCUUCCUUUGAAGGAGAAGAGGUUAUACCAGUCGGUCCAGUAAUUAAGGGUCUAUUUCUGCACCUUCCAAAAAGCUAAAAAUUUGAGUGUUGACGAUGGACAAUCUAAAACUGUUGUUGGAGAUAUUCAAUCUUGUGAUACAGAUGGAUUGGGGUAUGUGAAGAUGGUCAAUCUUAAAUUUCAAUAAACAAGGGUAACUUUUUCCACAGGUAAAAGUUGCAAAACUGUUCCGAGUGUUGGACAUUAUCUUUCCAUAACUUGGUUCCAGAAAUCAAAAUCAACAUUCUGCAUUUUGAUCCUAUCGGUCUUUUUUAGGCCCAAGGACUGCACAUUUUUAGCCCAACCAAUUUUUAAGAAUAUAAUGUAUGUGGAUCUAGGGAGCACAAUUAGAGGAAUGAUACGGACAGCAUCAAAAAAAUAUACUCCGUAUAAUAUAUAUAUAAUAUUGUUUUUAUCAUUUUAUUUAUAGGAUCAUAAAUAAAUCACUAAUUUUACAAUGUUUGUUAUUUUUAUUUUUUUAAAUUUCAUAUUAUAUUUCUAAUUAACUUAUAAUAUACUCCAUCUGUACCAAAAUAAAUGUCCUAUUUUUGAGAACUAAUGUGAAUCACGGUUCUCAACAUAUUUAGUAAUUAGAUUAGAAUAGAGAGAGUAUUAUAUUUCCAAUUAACUUAUAAUAUAUUUUAAAUCUUAUUGAAUUUCACUUUUUUUUUAUAUAUAUAAUUACAAAAUUACCCUGAUCUGCAAGUGUCGAAAACAUUUCCUUAUGGAGUCCAUGUCUUUCAACCAAAAAAAUAAAAUAUUUACCAUUUAGGAUGCUUCUAAAAGAAAAGUGUCAGCUUAUAACAACCGAAAAAAGCUUAUAUUUUAAUAGUGCUGUCUUUUUCCUUAUGGAAUAAUACUAAUUUCCCUUCUUCAAAUUUAACGUAGUACUAAACACAGUUAUGUCACGGACCAGUUUCACGCAAUAUUAGAUAAUAGCGACUUUCCUUCUAAUUCAAUUAAAAUUUCCAGAGUCUAUAGCAUCCAGUACACUUGGAUCUAAAUAUACAAAAAGUAUAAUAGUAUCUAAGUCCAUAGUCCCUACCAUACAUCAUCACUAUCGAUACGAGCAAAAUACAUAGAAUUCACCAUUCAUUGAGCUUAGAUGCUGAGUAAUAUAUGGACGCAAAAGAUCUCAUCGGAUCCAAAGAACCAUCAAAUGCCUACCAAGAUGCUCCUUCCUCAGCAUUCCAAUUUGAAGAGAGUGACCCUGAUUCCAACGCGCUACAUCUGCUUUUCAAUUGUUGAAUUUCUAUGUUUGAUCUAACCUGAAUUGCCAGAAAAACAAUUUCAAUUCAUUAGGUCACAAAGAAGAAUAAUUAGAGAAAAGCACGAACUUGGACCAACAUGAUUCAAACACAACCUAAUUUCAUUCUUGUAAGCAACGGUAAGAAAGGUAAAUUGAAGGCCCUUUUUUUGGAGAAUGACACUAAGAAGACCAAGUAAAAUCAGUGAUGUGAUUGGUAGCAUGAACACCAUGCCAUAGAAUUGAAAAAAAAAAAAAAAAAAAAAAAAAAAAAACCAUAUUAGGUCAAACUAAAAGAAAAUUUCAUUCAACUCUAUGUUGUUUUACAAAGUGCAACGUCGUUUAUUGGCUAUAAAUUCCCUUCCACCAACAUAGAAAAUUUUACCUCCAAAUCAGGUAACAAAUGUAUUUGUAUUCAGUUAAGUAAUUUUUGUAAUAUAUUGAAUUUGUUACGUCUUACCAUCUAUUAGUGAUUUUUUGUUAUAGACACGGAGAGAAGUAAGAGAGCUAGUAAACCAAGAUGGCAUUUGGGAAUCUGACCCUUGCGUGCCAGCAGCUACAGUACCGUAAUAAUGUUCAAUACAUACCUAGAGUUUGCAGGGCACCCAUUUUAAGUUAAUCUCAAUUCAGGAAGCAGUAGUAAAAAGGUGCAAACAAAACAGACAUUAGUUACCUUAUCUAUAACAGACUCUGUAUCAUUGCAUGUUAGACAGAUCUGAACGACCAACAUACGCCUCUGAAACGGUGGUCCUAAUGUCAUCACCGGCUUGACUUGUAAUAGUUGUGGUCCGACAUCUUAAUGUAUUCUGGGAAAGAGAGGUAUUUCCAGCAACCGGUGAGGAUGAAAACAAGGAGAUCAAGUUGCGGGUUUGAGCUCGGUCCAGCUCAAAAUAAAAAAGAUUAUACCCAUAGUUGUUCUCAGCAAUUAUUGGCUUAAACUGAGCUUCAGACAAGGGCUGUCACUGCAUCUGGAUUUGGACCUGAACCUUAGACACAAAGAAAGCAUAUGAUUCACAGUUUUAUACACCCAAAUCCUCAAAGAAGUUAAAAAAAGAGUGUGAUAGUAACAUGCAUAUAGCUGUGCAGGGUAUGGUGUGUCCUUUGAACCAUCUUCCAUCCAACCAUAUCAAUUGAUAUUCAUUUGUCCAGGGCUGACAGCCUCAAAGAUACCAUAAAGGUUCCGAUCACAGUUGUUGAAUAAGAAUAAUGGCAAACCAGGAGUGACGUUCUUUACAUAUGAAUAAUGAGCAACUGGUAUACCUGUUCAAAAAUAUGAAAAACAUUUAAUGAGUCUGAAUAGCUUAAACUGCAUAUAUCAAAAUCUAGAUAUAGUAGAAAAAGAGAAAAGCAUGCAGAAAAAGGUAGCCAACUAACCAAACAGCAGCCUGUUAUAACAUUCAUCGAUUGUGUGAUGCUUGCAUCCAAAAAUAACUACACCAGGAUCACUCUUACUUGGAUUCCUAGCAGGUGCACUGCAAUUUGCCGACCAAGAAGAUUGAGAUUUGUCCUUGAUCGCAAGUGCCUUGUUCUUCUUGUCAUUCAUCGCAAGUGCCUUGUUCUUCUUCCCAACUAUAAAUAUGAAUCCAAAACAUAUAUAUUUGACACAAACAUGAAAUGGUAAUUAGUUAUAAAUUGCACCAAUGUGGCACUAACCAAUUUAAAAUACCGCCAUAAGGCAAAAAGCCAAAAACAGUAACAUCAAUAUUCAAUAAAUCACAUCUUUUGAAAAAUUAGAAAUGUUGCCAAUAUUUGAGGGUUUGACAUUAGAACAUCAUAAAGAGAAAAUAUGGCAUGAUAAGCAUCUAGAGUUCUAUAUUUAAAAAAGAAAAUCAGAAAGCAUGAAUUCAACAACUCAAGCUAUUUUUGUUUAAAAUCAACUAUGCCCUUUUAAUCAUUAGAGGACUGUAACAUAUUGACUAACAACUCGGUUUUGUACGGAAAAAAUGAACUUUUUAAAAAACAGGAAACUGAACUCUCAUUUUAGUUCAGCAUUCAAUAUAAACAAAUGUUAUACCAACUCUCAUUUGAAAAAGAAGAACUGAUUAGUUCUUAAUCGAGCCGAUAGAGCAUUAAAAAGGAGUAAAUGAGCAUGUGAUAUUAUGCCUCCAGCAAGAGAAUAGUAUACACUCAAUCUUCUUUUUUUAAGAAAAAAAAAAUAAUACUUCAUGAGAACAUAUAUCACAAUUUGACCCCACAUUGUGAGUUUUUAGUGAACAUUAAUAAAUAUAAAUAAUAAAAAAAAAUCAACUCACCAAAAAAUAAAAAAUAAAUCAACUCACCAAAAAUAAAAAAUACAGUAAAAAAAUUAAUUCGACCCUUCCAUAAACAACAGGAUAACAAGAAACAGAGUGGGGCACUC